GGCUCAGUGAGGCGUUCGGACUGGCCCAGAGAGGUGGGAAACUACCACUCAGGGCCGGAAAGUUCUCCAAACUCGGUCAUUUAGAGGAAGUAAAAGUCGUAACAAGGUCUCCGUUGGUGAACCAGCGGAGGGAUCAUUA
rnacentral:rRNA from 1 species